rnacentral:rRNA from 1 species
GAUGAACGCUGGCGGCGUGCCUAAUACAUGCAAGUCGAGCGAACAGACGAGGAGCUUGCUCCUUCGACGUUAGCGGCGGACGGGUGAGUAACGCGUAGGUAACCUACCUAUAAGACUGGGAUAACUUCGGGAAACCGGAGCUAAUACCGGAUAAUAUUUCGAACCGCAUGGUUCGAUAGUGAAAGAUGGCUUUGCUAUCACUUAUAGAUGGACCUGCGCCGUAUUAGCUAGUUGGUAAGGUAACGGCUUACCAAGGCAACGAUACGUAGCCGACCUGAGAGGGGGAUAGGCCACAUGGGAACUGAGACACGGUCAAGACGCCUAAGGGAGGCAGCAGUAGGGAAUCUUACGCAAUGGGCGAAAGCCUGACGGAGCAACGCCGCGUGAGUGAUGAAGGUCUUCGGAGCGUAAAACUCUGUUAUUAGGGAAGAACAAACGUGUAAGUAACUGUGCACGUAGUGACGGUAACUAAUCAGAAAGCCACGGCUAACUACGUG